rnacentral:rRNA from 1 species
CCUACGGGAGGCAGCAGUGAGGAAUAUUGGUCAAUGGCCGGAAGGCUGAACCAGCCAUGCCGCGUGAAGGUCAGUGCCCUAUGGGCGUUAAACUUCUUUGGUGCGGGAGCAAGAAUGGUCACGUGGGGCCAGACGAGAGUACCGUACGAAUAAGCAGCGGCUACCUCCGUGCCAGCAGCCGCUGUAAGACGGGGGAUGCAAGCGUUAUCCGGAGUUAGGGGGGUUCAAGGGGGCGGAGGCUGGGAGGUAAGUCAGCGGUGAAAUGCCCCCGCUCAACGGGGUGAAGUGCCAUUGAUACUGCCUUGCUGGACUGCGGCUGCCGUGGGAGGAUUGUGUGGUGUAGCGG